rnacentral:rRNA from 1 species
ACGUAUGGGGCUAGCGUUGUUCGGAAUUAUUGGGCGUAAAGGGCGUCUAGGCGGGGGAUUAAGUUAGGUGUGAAAUCCCUGGGCUCAACCCAGGAACUGCAUCUAAAACUGGUUCUCUUGAGUUCGGGAGAGGAGAGCGGAAUUCCCGGUGUAGCGGUGAAAUGCGUAGAUAUCCGGAGGAACACCGGUGGCGAAGGCAGCUCUCUGGGAUAGAACUGACGCUGAAGCGCGAAAGCGUGGGGAGCAAACGG